AUCAGCUGAUUGGUUGAAUUGGGUAUGUCAGUGCUGGGAUGGAACAAAAGCCCAGGCGACACCUGAAAGCUCUCACCACUGUCAGAGAAAAUUCUGCCGUCGAUUGAGAAGACAAAAUGCCAUUCUAACCAAAAAAAGCCAUGAGCUAAUUAACAUACUAACAGUGUAGUUCAGUAAUACCAUUCCCCUGCAGCCUUCCAGCUGUCUCCCUGUAGGUAACUAACAGACUAACAGUGUAGUUCAGUAAUACCAUUCCCCUGCAGCCUUCCAGCUGUCUCCCUGUAGGUAACUAACAGACUAACAGUGUAGUUCAGUAAUACCAUUCCCCUGCAGCCUUCCAGCUGUCUCCCUGUAGGUAACUAACAGACUAACAGUGUAGUUCAGUAAUACCAUUCCCCUGCAGCCUUCCAGCUGUCUCCCUGUAGGUAACUAACAGACUAACAGUGUAGUUCAGUAAUACCAUUCCCCUGCAGCCUUCCAGCUGUCUCCCUGUAGGUAACUAACAGACUAACAGUGUAGUUCAGUAAUACCAUUCCCCUGCAGCCUUCCAGCUGUCUCCCUGUAGGUAACUAACUAACAGACUAACAGUGUAGUUCAGUAAUACCAUUCCCCUGCAGCCUUCCAGCUGUCUCCCUGUAGGUAACUAACAGACUAACAGUGUAGUUCAGUAAUACCAUUCCCCUGCAGCCUUCCAGCUGUCUCCCUGUAGGUAACUAACAGACUAACAGUGUAGUUCAGUAAUACCAUUCCCCUGCAGCCUUCCAGCUGUCUCCCUGUAGGUAACUAACAGACUAACAGUGUAGUUCAGUAAUACCAUUCCCCUGCAGCCUUCCAGCUGUCUCCCUGUAGGUAACUAACAGACUAACAGUGUAGUUCAGUAAUACCAUUCCCCUGCAG